rnacentral:piRNA from 1 species
UCUCAAGAAACUCAAUUAAAA